GGCAAAAGAACACAGACACUGGACAGAGGAACUGUACCUAGAAGGCCAGUAUCCCAGAGUUGCCUCUUCACUGUUGACAUUGAGACUGGUGUUAAUUGCUUUGUGCCUUCCUAAUCUUAACCUGUCUUCUCUGAGUGCAUCUGCUUUCCAACACAAUACAGAUCAAACAGACAAGGCUGGUUUAUACUUUGUCUAUCGACAUGUCUGUAGAUAGUUGUCGCAGUGACAUCACGAACAUUCUAUUGCUAUUGCUAUGAAAAAGUAUGAACACAAAAAUGACAGGCUGCACGACAUCAGCAGACUGGUGGUCCAAAAUUGCAUAACUGGUGUAUUUUAACCCCAAUAAACCCAUCCGUUUAAAAAUGAGUUUAGCUAGCUAGCUAACAUUAGCUGUAUAGCCAGUUUAAAUAAUGACCAUAUCAUAGCUGACAAUGUCUUAACUUUAGCACAUUUAUAUUCAUUAUUACAGAAAAUAAGCUCACAGCAAGAUAAUUAUUUACAAGUUAAUGGCGUGCUAAUUACAGAAAAUAGCUUACGGUUGUGAUGAAAUAAAAGUAGGGCAUUCUACUGGAUCAUUUUAGAACUUUGGCACUGUCUUGUUGCUGGCUCAGUCAGGUAAUCAUGACAACUGAUGCAGCGACAGGGUCAAAGUUUAACUUUUUUCAUCUGUCUGCGACAAGGAAACCGACAUUCGUAGAGGCGGUCUACAGACAUUCCACUGGAGUAUAAAUGAAAUGUUGUUGUGCAUUCUAAUUGUCUACAGACAUGUCGAUAGACAAAGUAUAAACCAGCCUUUAGGCCAACUCUUACCCUACUAGGUCCGGAGCCUGUUUGUUUUCUGUUCUACCUGAUAAUCAAUUGCACACACUUGGUGUCCCAGGUCUAAAUCAGUCUCUGAUUAGAGGGGAACAAUGAAAAAAUGCAGUGGAACUGGCUUACUGGUCCAGAUUUGAGUUUGAGGUCUUUAGGCAGUUAUUGUCGUAAGGCAAACGGUUUGGAGAAGCUGGUGCCAAAAAAAGGACCCUGUCCUCCUUUACGUGCAGGUAUUGACCUAACCUAAUGAGUCUUUAUUUGGUCUCAAUAGAUUUCUAUAGGCUCACACUCAGGGCCCGGGCUGGCAAAACUGUACAUUGAUUACUUUGUGCCAAUACGUUCAUUGACGUGGAUUCGAUGUGUUUUAAUCCGGUGAAUCAGCAGGGUAUGACAAAAACUGGUGGAACUGAUAGUGGGUGAGUGCUCCCUGGCACAAAAAUACAUACUGUCAUGUUUAGUUUAUUACUAAUACCAUGGGCAUCUGCAGAGUUUGGCACUUGCUGCAGCCUCCCUUGGCCCUCAGACCACGUGUGAGUCUGGAGUCUGAAAUCAUCCAACACCGAUGAGUCCCGCUCGGAUCUCCACCAGAACGAACCAACGAAGUGGAAGAGAGAAGGAGCGGGACAGGAGAGGAAAGAGAGGGAAUGUGUGACGUCCCAUCGUGGAGAGCAGCCAUUCGUCCGUUGAUGCAUUCAUCUUCGUCACUUUGAUUUGCUCUUGUCGUUUCUUCUUCAUUUUCUCCGCCGCAGGGUUGACGUGUCCGAGGUAUCAGGGAAAGCUUGUUGGUUGUUUGUUUCGCAUCCUCUGAGGGAAGGGUUAAACACAUGUCACCAACCACAGAGCUGCUGCCUCAGGGCUGCUGCCUCAGGGCUGCUGGGUCUGAAUUAGUGUUCUGAGGCUCUACCACUCUCUCUCGCUCUCCCUCUCUCACUUUGUCUCCGUCACACAUUCUCUAUUUCCGUUGAUAUCCCUCCCUUUCUCUCUCUCCCUCUCUGUUUCUGUCUCUUUCUGCUGAUAUCUUUCACUGGGUGUGUGUUGGGGGACCGCAUCAGGCAGCAGGUUCCUUAACCACGGAGGAGCUGCAGGAGUCGGAAGCCUUUCUUUCCUAUCUUUCCUCUCCAUCUAUCACCUACAACGGGGGGGGGGGGGGGGGGGGAGAGAGAGCGAGAGACGACGCUUAUUGCAUCACAUGCUCAUUAUGCUAUACAUUUUAUAGAGAAGACAUCACGGUGAUUAUCGACAUCUCGCUUUGGUGGAUUUAUAUUGCAUCAUUAUUUUAACCAAGGGUUGUCAUUGUGCCAGGAGCUUGACUUAAACCCAGUGGCAUUUCUCAGAACGUGCACAUGCCAACUUCCUGCCACAAGCAAGCUCACUUGAGUGACGGCAAAAGAACACGGUUUUCCCCCCUUCAAGAUGGCUAUUCAAGAAUGAUGAAGUCAUGACUUUACUAAGCAUGUCCAGACGUUGAUGUCAGCAUUCAUCAAAAAAAUAAAUCAUACAAAAAUGGAACAUUUGGAUGAUACUUAUGUUUCUGGAAUCCUCAUCCCCAAAGGUUUUGUUAUAUGUAUUUCCAUUCUAUAAUUAAAGGUAGCCUGGUGAUUCA